rnacentral:rRNA from 1 species
AGCGAACGCUGGCGGCAGGCUUAACACAUGCAAGUCGAGCGGGCACUUUCGGGUGUCCGCGGCGGACGGGUGAGUAACGCGUGGGAACGUGCCCUCUGGUUCGGAAUAACUCAGGGAAACUUGAGCUAAUACCGGAUGCGCCCUUUUGGGGAAAGGCUUGCUGCCGGAGGAUCGGCCCGCGUCUGAUUAGCUAGUUGGUGAGGUAACGGCUCACCAAGGCGACGAUCAGUAGCUGGUCUGAGAGGAUGAUCAGCCACACUGGGACUGAGACACGGCCCAGACUCCUACGGGAGGCAGCAGUGGGGAAUAUUGGACAAUGGGCGCAAGCCUGAUCCAGCCAUGCCGCGUGAGUGAUGAAGGCCUUAGGGUUGUAAAGCUCUUUUAUCCGGGACGAUAAUGACGGUACCGGAGGAAUAAGCCCCGGCUAACUUCGUG